UAUGUACUCCCUCCGUUCGAAAUUACUUGUCGCAGAAAUGGAUGUAUCUAGACGUAUUUUAGCUCUAGAUACAUCCAUUUCCGAGACAAGUAAUUCCGAACGGAGGGAGUACACA
rnacentral:pre_miRNA from 1 species